UACGGGGGGAGCAAGCGUUGUUCGGAUCUACUGGGCGUAAAGGGCGCGUAGGCGGCCCUACAAGUCACUUGUGAAAUCUCCGGGCUUAACUCGGAACGGCCAAGUGAAACUGUAGAGCUAGAGUGUGGAAGGGGCAAUCGGAAUUCUUGGUGUAGCGGUGAAAUGCGUAGAUAUCAAGAGGAACACCUGAGGUGAAGACGGGUUGCUGGGCCAACACUGACGCUGAGGCGCGAAAGCGUGGGGAGCAAACGGG
rnacentral:rRNA from 1 species